GUGUCAGCCGCCGCGGUAAUACGGAGGGGGCAAGCGUUACUCGGAAUUAUUGGGCGUAAAGGGCGCGUAGGCGGCCGUGUGCGUCAGAGGUGAAAUCCCCGGGCUUAACCCGGGAACUGCCUCUGAUACGGCAUGGCUUGAGUCCGGGAGAGGGGAGCAGAAUUCCCAGUGUAGCGGUGAAAUGCGUAGAUAUUGGGAGGAAUACCAGUGGCGAAGGCGGCUCCCUGGACCGGUACUGACGCUGAGGCGCGAAAGCGUGGGUAGCAAACAGGAUUAGAAACCCCCGUAGUCC
rnacentral:rRNA from 1 species